rnacentral:ncRNA from 1 species
AAAGACUUAGUCCUAACCUUGCCAUUAGUUUUCCUGCUCAACAUAUACAUGCAAGUAUCCGCACUCCAGUGCAAACACCCCCAACCUCUUAUCAAGACCAAAGGAGUAGGCAUCAGGCACGCUCACACACUGCAGCCCAAAACGCCUCGUCCAGCCACACCCCCACGGGUACUCAGCAGUAGUUAACAUUAAGCCAUAGGCGAAAGCCUGACUUAGUUAGAGCAACCAGGGUUGGUAAACCUUGUGCCAGCCACCGCGGCCAUACAAGGAACCCAAACUAACCGCACACGGCGUAAAGAGUGGCCCCCGACUAUCANNNCAGCCAACUAAGACCAAAUUACAACCCAAGCUGUCACAAGCCCAAGAUGUUCCGAAGCACCUCCUAAAGACAACCUUAGCAACUGCGACCUAUCUACCCCACGAAAGCCAGGGCACAAACUGGGAUUAGAUACCCCACUAUGCCUAGCCCUAAAUCUUGGUAUCUUCUACACANNNAAGACACCCGCCCGAGAACUACGAGCACAAACGCUUAAAACUCUAAGGACUUGGCGGUGCCCUAAACCCACCUAGAGGAGCCUGUUCUAUAAUCGAUAAUCCACGAUACACCCAACCACUCCUUGCCAAAACAGCCUACAUACCGCCGUCGCCAGCCCACCUUUAUGAAAGCACAACAGUGAGCCCAAUAGCCUACACCCACUAACAAGACAGGUCAAGGUAUAGCCUAUGGAGUGGAAGAAAUGGGCUACAUUUUCUAAAAUAGACAAACCNNUUAACGAAAGGAGGCCUGAAACUUGCCNNNCCAGAAGGCGGAUUUAGCAGUAAAGAGGGACAAUAGAGCCCUCUUUAAGUCGGCUCUAGGGCACGUACACACCGCCCGUCACCCUCCUCACAAGCCUACUCAACGCUAACUAAAACACCAAACAGCUGAAGAUGAGGUAAGUCGUAACAAGGUAAGUGUACUGGAAAGUGCACUUAGUAUAU